GGGGAUAUAGCUUAGUGGUAGAGCACUCAUCUAGCAUAUGCAGGGUCCUGGGUUCAAUCCCCAGUAUCACCA